CGUGCCAGGCCGGAGCACGGAGGUAUAGCGGGAACUCGUCUUCAGGAAGGGCAAAAGCGAGAACGUAGGACAGAAGAGAGACAGGAGGGAGGCAGGGAGGCCGAACCGCACUACAUCUCCCGGGAUGCUCAGCAAGAGGGAGAGCCGAGCCCCGCCCCGGCCCGCCCAACCGGUACAGCAGGCGCUGCCCACCCCACGGAGCCCGGCGGCGCGCAGAGGCUACAAGUGCUGCGGCUUGUGAGCGGGGUACUUUCCCGAGGAGCCGCGCAAGGACAAGCGCGCGGUGCUCGAGCCUCGCUGGGUGGCCAAGGCAGGAGACAUGAAUAAGUCGACUGAGGAAAAUAUAGUAGAAAGAAGAAUUCGUCAGCACAUUGUCAGGUAAGUAUAAGGAUUACACCAUAUAAAUAGCUACGAUGAAUAAUUUAUUUGAUAGAUAGAUGGCAUCAUUUGGUCUGAACUGUACUUCAACAGUUUUCCUUCCUCUUCUUUUAGGGCUUUUAUGAGUUUAGGUUUUGUGUCAGAAUAUACGUCAGUGGAAAAAGAAAUACCUGUUUAACAAUUAAAAAAUAUUCUUAUUUGCCAAGAGGCCUAUAGUUAUUCUGAGAAGUUGGUUUUACUGUUGUUGAUUUCUAUCCAAUUGCAAAAGAAAAACAGAUUAGUAGGAAAAUUACUAAUUUAUUUUCUCACUGUGCUAAACCAUCCUGGUUUUAAAAAAGGAAUGGCCCACUUUGUAGCUUGUUACUCACAGACUGAACUUCUUCCUGCUCAGGGAGAGUGAGUGGAAAGUAAAACUACUCUAUAUGAUAAAUACAAGGAACUUUAGAGUUGGAUAUAGGCAUCUAGGGAGAAAAGAGAAGGACAGAGGGAGAAAAGAACAGAGGGAGAGGGCCCGAGAAAGUGGUUAGAGGCUUCAGAAGGAAAAGUCUACUUGUUGACAAAUUCCCAGUUGCAAAGAUGGCAGAAGGGUUUUGAAAAUCAGCGAUGUUGCAUAUUUAAUAUUAAGCUGGUCCCUAGUCCUAAUUAUUCUGUAUGUUCUCUCUCAAUGUCUUUAAGCCUUUCAUACAAGUCAGCCAUAUAUAACAGCCUCAUAUUAGUGGAGCCAUGGGGAAUUUAAGGGUAGGACAUAGAAGAGAAGGGCAGACCCCUUGGCAUUACUCUUCUGCUGAUGCCCACAUGGUGGAGGCACCAGCAGUCGAGGGGGCUGCUUGUUCCAGAAUUCCAUGAUCUUUAGCAAAGCAAGUGAAGAUGUGAACUAGACCUAAGAGCAGAAGGUAGAUGCUAGCAUUAGUAGAAAAGUAGGCUCUGGUAUGCACUGACGUACUUUUAAUUUCUCCCAAACUGGCUAGAGGAAGGGGGUCCUUGAAAAGAGUUGUGAUGAGGGUGGGGGAGGGAAGUGGUUGUGGAUGAAAGCUACAAACACUUGUGUUAUGGGAGUAAAUGGUAGAAAUUGAGAUAGGAAACAACAACUACAUGUCAUGGUUAUGUAAACUGAAGUUUAUUCUACCAAUAAUGGAGGAAAUACUGUGAUUUUCUUAAAAAGAAAAAUGGCAUAAUCAGAAUUUAGUUUUAGAAAGAAAACUCAGAUAAUGGGGUAGAGAUCAGAUUGGAAAAGUGGGUAAAGACUGUUGGGAAACAAUAGAAAGGGGCCAAGGAGAAAUGAUGAACUUGAAGAGUGAAGGAAGAAACUGAGAGGAGGUAAUAUAUUAGGCAUUUCAAAGAUCAGAUAAAGUUAAUGACUGAUUUGAAUAGGGUGGGGCCAUUGAGAGAAAUCACUUGGAUAAUUUGUCACUGACCAAGUUAUGAAAAGCACAGGAAAAAGCACUACGUUUGGUGGAAAAAAGAUAUGCUGUGUUUGAGGUAUGUGGGGGACAUUCAAGUGAAGGUGUCUAACGGUCAGUGGAAAAAUGAGUCUGGAGUACUAGAAUGAGGUUGGGUUUAUUUGUGAUAUAAAGGUAUGUGACAAUAUUCUCUUAACCCAAAAUUAGGGCCCAGGGUCUUUCAAAUUUUCAAUGGUGAGUGAAUUUAUUUUCAUGAAAAAGUUUUAUGAAUAUGAGAAUGUGGAAGUAUAUUGUUAGAUUUUAAUUAGUUACCAUCAAGUAAAAAAAUAAAGCCACUGAAAUCAAAACAUCCCUGGAAAAUCCAGGAUAUAUGGUCACUAUACUUUCAUCUCAUCUAUUUCAAAGAGGGUCAAUACAAUUGUGAUGUAAACCAAAGCUUAAUAAUAUUCAAAAUCAAUCAGAAGGAAAGCAAGGGAAUACCUGAAGUUAGUCAAUAGCCACAAUAAAAGUUUAAAAGUUAACCUUGAGGUUUCUAUUAAACAAAGUGAAAAAUAGAGUGAAGAAUAUUGGAUCACAGUUAUGAAGUACCUGAUAAAAAGAAAGUCUAGAUAUUAAUUUAGACAGAGAAACAUUUCCUUGUGCAAAAUUUUAGGAGGUAUUAUCAUGUGGAUCUUUAGAUAAAGGCCAAUGAGUAACAUAAUGGAAAAUCAUUUUAGUAAGGCUAAGAAAUGUUCUUCAUAUCAUUAAGUCCGAAAGGAAGAUAGGUUUUUCAGAAAACUAGGAUACUACAGCCCAAGUUGCUUUCUGAUGAUAACUUAAUUAAGGAAUGGAGCCGGAAUUAUCUUGAGGAUUGAAUAGUUAGCAUGCUUCUCCGGCUGACUCUUAAAUAUUGAUUUUUUUCAAGUAAGCUUCUUACAAAAUUGCUGAAUUUCUGAUCUUUUGUUGAAUUCUCUGAUGGGUGUCUAGAAAGUAUGUUUCAAAUGCUUCAGGUGUCAGUUAUAGGGGAAGAGUUGAGAUUCUACAGUGAAAACUUCAGAGGCUCCUUUUUAUGUUGGUCUGUAUGGAAGUUCUUACCAUGUGUCCGUGAAUGGGGUCCACUAGGGACCAGGCAAAAGUCCAUCUAACUUAAAAAAUUAUUUUGAAAUUUUUCAAUC
rnacentral:lncRNA from 1 species